UAGUCAUAUGCUUGUUUCAAAGAUUAAGCCAUGCAAGUCUAAGUAUAAGCUUUUAUACGGCAAAACUGCGAAUAGCUCAUUACAACAGUUAUAAUUUACACGACGAUCAUUACCAAAUGGAUAUCCAUGGUAAUUCUGGAGCUAAUACAUGCAAAAACACCAAACUUUAGGGAAUGGUGGCAUUCAUUAGCCUUAGAACCAAUCAAGUAGUAAUACUUGUUUCUGGUGAUCAUAAUGACCGAGCGGAUCGCAAAUUGUGCGACAGUUCGUUCAAGUUUCUGACCUAUCAGCUCCCGUCGGUAGGGUAUUGGCCUACCGAGGCUGUGACGGGUAACGGGGAAUUAGGGUUCGAUUCCGGAGAGGGAGCCUGAGAAACGGCUACCACAUCUAAGGAUGGCAGCAGGCGCGCAAAUUACCCAAUCCCGACACGGGGAGGUAGUGACCAGAAAUAGCAACUCAGGACCUUCGGUUCUGCGAUUGCAAUGAGCGAAAAGCAAAACUAUUUGCGAGUACCUAUU
rnacentral:rRNA from 1 species